UGCACAGAUAAUGUUUUUACCUUUCAAGUCAUGUUGACAACCGCGAGCGCGUACCGAUAGUAUUUUAUAGGACCUGGUAAGUUUUUUUUUUUUUCAAAUUUUCAUCGUUCGGAGUGUCUAGUGUCACCCGCCACGCGGAUGUGAGUCCGUUGGGGUUUUAAGGACACUAAAGAGACACAAAGCGAUUAGAAACACUGCGCGGGGAGACGUACGGACGUGACGAAAAAUGGCAUAGGUUAGCCGGAC